UACAGAGGGUGCGAGCGUUAAUCGGAAUUACUGGGCGUAAAGCGCACGUAGGUGGCGACGUAAGUCGGGUGUGAAAGCCCCGGGCUCAACCUGGGAAUUGCAUUCGAGACUGCAUUGCUGGAGUACGGAAGAGGAGGGCGGAAUUCCCGGUGUAGCGGUGAAAUGCGUAGAUAUCGGGAGGAACAUCAGUGGCGAAGGCGGCCCGCUGGUCCAGUACUGACACUCAAGUGCGAAAGCGUGGGGAGCAAACAGG
rnacentral:rRNA from 1 species